GUCUUUGUAGUAUAUGUAAAUACUUUGGUCUUGUAAAUCAAAAAAGGAGGACACUCAACCUCCCUAAGACU
rnacentral:tRNA from 1 species